UCACCUGUUUUUCAAAAACAUGUCUUAAAGAAAAUAAUUUUAAGUCUAAUCUGCUCAAUGAAUUAUUAAAUAGCUGCAGUAUAAAUAACUGUGCUAAGGUAGCAUAAUAAUUUGUUUUUUAAUUAAAAACUCGUAUGAAUGAUUUAAUGAAGUAUAAACUGUCUUAAAAUUAUUUUUUAAACUUUUUCUUUAAGUAAAAAAAUUUAAAUUUUUAUUAAAGACGAGAAGACCCUAAAGAAUUUUUAUUAAUUAAAUUUUUUAAAUUAAAUUUAUUUAAUUUUAAUUGGGGAUAUUUUAAAAUUUAAUAAAUUUUUAAUUAAAUUAAACAUAAAUUUUUGUAUUUAAUAUAAUUUUUUUUAAAAAAAAAAUAAAUUACCUUAGGGAUAACAGCAUAAUUUUUUUUUUAAGUUCAAAUUUAUAAAAAAGUUUAUGACCUCG
rnacentral:rRNA from 1 species